UACGUAGGGGGCAAGCGUUGUCCGGAUUUAUUGGGCGUAAAGGGCGCGUAGGCGGCCUGGCAAGUGGAAGGUGAAAUCCCUCGGCUUAACCGAGGAACUGCCCUCCAAACUGCUUGGCUUGAGUCCGGGAGAGGUGAGUGGAAUUCCCAGUGUAGCGGUGAAAUGCGUAGAUAUUGGGAGGAACACCAGUGACGAAGGCGGCUCACUGGACCGGAACUGACGCUGAGGCGCGAAAGCGUGGGGAGCAAACGGG
rnacentral:rRNA from 1 species